GGACGCAAGUCUGAACCAGCCAAGUCGCGUGAAGGAUGACUGCCCUACGGGUUGUAAACUUCUUUUGUAUGGGAGUAAAAAGAACUACGCGUAGUUUAUUGCAAGUACCAUACGAAUAAGCAUCGGCUAACUCCGUGCCAGCAGCCGCGGUAAUACGGAGGAUGCAAGCGUUAUCCGGAUUUAUUGGGUUUAAAGGGUGCGUAGGCGGGAUUAUAAGUCAGCGGUGAAAGUUUGAGGCUCAACCUUAAAAUUGCCGUUGAAACUGUUUUUCUUGAGUAUAUUUGAAGUAGGCGGAAUUCGUGGUGUAGCGGUGAAAUGCAUAGAUAUCACGAAGAACUCCAAUUGCGAAGGCAGCUUACUAAACUAUAACUGACGCUGAAGCACGAAAGCGUGGGUAUCAAACAGGAUUAGAUACCCUGGUAGUCCACGCCGUAAACGAUGAUUACUAGCUGUUUGUGAUAUUACAAUAAGCGGCUAAGCGAAAGCGAUAAGUAAUCCACCUGGGGAGUACG
rnacentral:rRNA from 1 species